rnacentral:lncRNA from 14 species
GAAAAGUCCUUGAGAAUGUUCCUUCCUAAACUUUUCCCCCCAGUAAUGCAAGCGGGUAAAAUGGUAAAUGCAGCAGUUUGGUGACAUCCAAACCCGACCUGUUGUCAGAAUAAUAAAACUGGUAGGUGGCAGCAGCAGCAGAAGAAACUCAUGUGACUGACCUGAGAAACCUCCAGUACUGGGAGAAAUGGAUUGCAAAAUGCUAACUCAAGGGGGACGGAAGAGAGAGGCAGAGUCCCUGAACUGCCUCUUUGUAUGGUAUUUCUGCACCACAGGAGGUCUUCUCUUGCAUGGGGACACUUACCUCUUGAUGUAACACCCCCUUCACAAUGAAGUGAAGAAAGGAUAGACCAGCAGCAGUGUGGAAUGGGGUGAUGUCCACACUUGGGGUUAACAGUCGUAAUAAACGCUGUCCUGCUAACA